CCUCCCCGGUGGGCACAGAUGCCAAGGCUGAACAUCAUCAUCGUGCUCGGCAGCAACGGUGACCGGGGAGAUCAUCGACAGGAUCUGGAAGAAAUCGCCCUCCCUUGACGGACGCGCUGAUAGGGGCCGGAGGCCGGAGCGAGGGGCGGCGGCCCUGGGUCCCUCUCCUUAUGUUAUAUUUUACUUAGCUUAUCUCUUUUACUUCUCCUCAUGCCUGGCUCAUUUGUAACCCCGAGCUCCCCC
rnacentral:lncRNA from 1 species